GGCGCGGGCCAACGGGGCGGGCGUCGCCUCCGACGAAAUGGUCCGUCACGCUUUCGCCCUUCGUAUCGGUUCUCCGGUGCGGGGGGCUGUGUCGGUCAGUUUACUUUGAAGAAAUUUGAGUGUUCCAAGCGGGCAAUAUUUGCAGUGAAGACAUUAGCAUGGGAUAAUAGAAUAUGACCAGGGGUCUUACCUUCGUUGGUUCGUAAGGCUCGGGUAAUGAUUAAUAGGGACGGUCGGGGUCGCUAGUACCGAGUGGCUAGAGGUGAAAUUCUGUGACCCAUUCGAGACUAACAAGAGCGAAAGCAUUCGACAAGGAUGUUUUCUUUAAUCAAGAACGAAAGUUGGGGGAUCGAAGAUGAUCAGAUACCGUCGUAGUCCCAACCGUAAACUAUGUCGGCCCGAGAUCGGAAGGCGUUACAUGGAUGACCCUUCCGGCAUCGUGUGAGAAAUCACAAGUAUUCAGACUCCGGGGGGAGUAUGGUCGCAAGGCUGAAACUUAAAGGAAUUGACGGAAGGGCACCACCAGGAGUGGAGUCUGCGGCUUAAUUUGACUCAACACGGGGAAACUUACCAAGUCCGAACACGACGAGGAUUGACAGAUUGAUAGCUCUUUCUUGAUUUUGUGAAGAGUGGUGCAUGGCCGUUUUUAGUUGGUGGAGUGAUCUGUCUGGUUAAUUCCGUUAACGAACGAGACCUUAACCUACUAAAUAGAGGCACGAACGCGGGGGUUCGGAGCGGCCCUUCGCGGGGUCGGUUCGGAUCUCCACGAUUAUUCCAUUCGUGCGAUAUUCACUUCUUAGAGGGACCAUUCGUCCUCCAAGCGAACGGAAGUUUAAGGCAAAAACAGGUCUGUGAUGCCCUCAGAUGUUUUGGGCUGCACGCGCAUUACACUGUUGGGUUCAACGAGUCUAACGAUCCCUAACCCGAAAUGGGCGGGGCAAGCUUUUAAUGCUUAACGUGAUGGGGACUGUGUCUUGUAAUUAUUACACACGAACGAGGAAUUCCUAGUAAGUGCGAGUCAUCAGCUCGCGCUGAUUACGUCCCUGCCCUUUGUACACACCGCCCGUCGCUCCUACCGAUUGAACGGCCCGAUGAGAACUCGAGAUGGAAGGCGUACGACCUCCUGAAAGGGCGGGUCGCGCUCCGUUCAGAACCUGUUCAAAUCUUGUCGUUUAGAGGAAGGAGAAGUCGUAACAAGGUUUCCGUAGGUGAACCUGCGGAAG
rnacentral:rRNA from 1 species